rnacentral:tRNA from 1 species
GAAUGUAGCUCAGUUGGUUAGAGUUCUAGAUUGUGGAUCUAGAUGUCGCGGGUUCAAGUCCCGUCAUUC